CAAACCCCAGGCUGUCAGUUUUCUAUUUCUAAUAAUCAUCCAAUAAAAAUUACAGAGAGGCAGGAAGUCUCCAGCUGCCAGCUCAGACUCAUUACUGUGGGUCGUGUCAUCUGGAGAGCCAAAAGAAGUGAGGAAGGAUCCAGGAACUCUAAGUAUUAAAGUGCCAUCUCUGAAAGGACACAAGGACAGCAGAUAGAGAGAACUAGCUUCAGCAUUCUGAAGUCUGGCACUGCCCCAGAGCUCCAAGAGAUGCUUCACUGCCCUCUCCUGAAAUCUACCAGGUGGUGUGUGAAAGCCCAGAAAGCGUGCAGACUGUUGUCUUUGCAAUUUCACAAUUUAAAUCCACUGCACAGCUCAAGUAGAAACUACAAUUCUCCUUCAACAGCGACCUGCUUUGGAGAAACUCUCCCUGUACUUAUCCAUCACUCUUAACUUAAGGUCACACAUCAUUUCCAAGGCUGACUGAUAAUAGUACCUCAUACCAUCCCAAGCCAUACAAAAGCCAACGAGAGCACCUGGAGUAGCCCAUCCUCGGGAAAAGCGUUAGAUACCACUUACCAUACUGACAAAACUGCUGUUAAAAUACUACCAGUUCCUCUCAGGUCUUCAUUUCUAUUCACAGCAUUAUAAAAGAUCAGGAAGUGGUACUAUCUCUGUAGUACAGACAAAGUCCUAUGAAAACUCAUGGAAGGAACGACAUGAGCCAACACCAGCGUGUGACAGCAAUUUCCUCCAGGCCUAACUGGAGCCUGAAUGAACAGAGCUUCAACAGUGUUUGAUUCAAUAGGAAUUAAGAACCUGAAUAGCUUUCAGAAUCUGGAACAGCAAGAUUAAGAGAUGGGCUUCUGGAAGAUAUUUUGGAAGUCUGGAAGACUCUACAUGGACCUAAGUGAUUCUGGGUUUUAAGUUCCACUUUUAAACAUGAUCAUAACAUAACUUCUCAGGAUCACACCUUUUCCAUGAUUUUCAUAGGAAUGUCCACUAGGAUGAAUAAGGGUUUGCAAUUUGGAUCAGACAUAGUCUUUUCCUUCUAAUAGAUCUCUUACUUUAUUGGAUGUCACAACUCAUCGGCUUAAUAUUCUUCCCCGUAAUUGUUAAAUUUGCUAAAAUUUUGCACUCUGCCCUACAAAGUCUGAAAUAGUUUAAAAAUAUAUAUUGCUAAUGCAGAAUUUGGCAACUGCUGUGACAAUUCCACUGUGCACUGCUGAGGUGACUCUUUUUUCUUGUAGCUUUUAUUAAAUGGACUUGGGGAGGUAAGUCUACAUUUCCUUUGGUAGGUCAGCUGUAAAAUUUUACUUAAUAGCUAAAAUAAAGUUAUGAAAUGAUUUCUACUGGGAUUGAACAGAUGUGUAACUGAGAGAAACUCAGAGGACAUAGCAAGGAGUCCUUUUCCUUUCAUUUCUUAUUAAUACAACACCAAAUCAAAAAGCACUGCAAUUUCUAGAGUGAAAUUUCUGUUAGAUUUAACAGGCUUUGAAUCCAU